rnacentral:rRNA from 1 species
CCUACGGGAGGCAGCAGUAGGGAAUCUUCGGCAAUGGACGAAAGUCUGACCGAGCAACGCCGCGUGAGUGAAGAAGGUUUUCGGAUCGUAAAACUCUGUUGUUAGAGAAGAACGUUGCAUAGAGUGGAAAAUUAUGCAAGUGACGGUAUCUAACCAGAAAGGGACGGCUAACUACGUGCCAGCAGCCGCGGUAAUACGUAGGUCCCGAGCGUUGUCCGGAUUUAUUGGGCGUAAAGCGAGCGCAGGUGGUUUAAUAAGUCUGAUGUAAAAGGCAGUGGCUCAACCAUUGUGUGCAUUGGAAACUGUUAGACUUGAGUGCAGUAGAGGAGAGUGGAAUUCCAUGUGUAGCGGUGAAAUGCGUAGAUAUAUGGAGGAACACCGGUGGCGAAAGCGGCUCUCUGGACUGUCACUGACACUGAGGCUCGAAAGCGUGGGUAGCAAACAGGAUUAGAUACCCUGGUAGUCCACGCCGUAAACGAUGAGUGCUAGUUGUUUGGGGCUAUCCAGCCCUAAGUGACGCAGCAAACGCAUUAAGCACUCCGCCUGGGGAGUACGACCGCAAGGUUGAAACUCAAAGGAAUUGACGG